GGAAUUUUCCACAAUGGACGAAAGUCUGAUGGAGCAACGCCGCGUGCAGGAUGAAUGCCUUCGGGUUGUAAACUGCUUUUAUAUGUGACGAAUAUGACGGUAGCAUAUGAAUAGGGAACGGCUAACUCCGUGCCAGCAGCCGCGGUCAUACGGAGGAUCCAAGCGUUAUCCGGAAUUACUGGGCGUAAAGAGUUGCGUAGGUGGCAUAGUAAGUAGAUAGUGAAAGCGUGGGGCUCAACCUCAUAUCCAUUAUCUAAACUGCUAAGCUAGAGGGCGAGAGAGGUAACUAGAAUUCCUUGUGUAGGAGUGAAAUCCGUAGAUAUAAGGAGGAAUACCGAUGGCGUAGGCAGGUUACUGGCUCGUCCCUGACACUAAGGCACGAAAGCGUGGGGAGCAAA
rnacentral:rRNA from 1 species